CAUCUCUUUAGCUAUUUUUAGGACUCAUCCUUAGUCUGUUUUAUUAGCUGGAAAGAAGAGAACUUUGAACAGCCUGACAGUAGGUUAGUUCUCCAGAACCUUUUAAAUUUCACAAGAGAGUUUCCCUCAGACUUGACGUGUGAGCCUGAAAGGCAGCCAGACACUUAGGUUCAUUACUCUGUCGAGUGGCUCUACCUUAUGGCCUCCGGUGUGAGGGAGAGUGACACCAGCUACGCUGCCUCAAACGCCAGGUCUCGGCUCCUGGGGUUCAAACCUAGAGACCUUUCAGGCAGGAAGCAAACAUGAGGUCUCUGGAUCAGACUGUUUAUGACUCACGAAGUACUGUAGACAGAUUCCCAACCCCAAUCCCUACAGAGCUGCACGGUUCCACAGAAGUACCUGCUUUGGAGGUACUGACUUGGGAGAUACCGACUAACACCACAGGAGAGGGGGCAGUUAGCCUUGCCCUUGCCCUAGAGAGAAAUCACAGGGUCUCUCUGCCCAUCGACAUUGUCCGUAUAUGAACAGACCACCACAUUCUAUGGCCCUACAACCAUGACACUUUCUAGAAUGGAGAGACCUUAGGUAGCAUAUUGAAAGAGAUGGCCUUGGCACAUUUAUUAGGAUACAGACAUUUAAAACCAAAAUCUAUGAAUAAAAUAGCAUGACAAACGUGGUCAAUCACUGCAACGCAAUUGUUAAGUUCUGGGCCUUUGACUAGCUGUGGUACUUCAAACAAGUCACUAAUUUCUCUCCAUCUCAGUUUCCGCUUCUCAAAACCCAGUCUCAUCUUGCUUUAAAAUGAUAUAAAAGAAUGUGUAAGAGCAUAGGCUUUGGCACUGGACAGACUUGGGUUUAAGUUUUGGCUCUGCUGCUUUUGAUCUGGGUGAGGUUGGACAAGUGACUUGAUCCCCAGGAGCCUGAAAUCCUCCUACUGUAAAAUAGGACUGAAAUAAUCUAUUUCCACCUUGUUUUCAGGAUAAAAUGAGGAAAUAUAUGUAACGCGCUUAGCAUAGUACUUGACAUCUAGUAAAUACUCAAAAAUUUAUUUAUUAUGAUUCUUUUUGUAGAGUCAUUGAUUGUUUUACUUACUAUGUGUUAAGUUCCUUUGCAUAAUAUACUCUGUACAUAAAACCGUAUCUAGGGCUUCCCUGGUGGCGCGGUGGUUGA